rnacentral:rRNA from 1 species
UACGUAGGUGGCAAGCGUUAUCCGGAUUUAUUGGGCGUAAAGAGAACGCAGGCGGUCUUUUAAGUCUGAUGUGAAAGCCUUCGGCUUAACCGGAGUAGUGCAUUGGAAACUGGGAGACUUGAGUGCAGAAGAGGAGGGUGGAACUCCAUGUGUAGCGGUGAAAUGCGUAGAUAUAUGGAAGAACACCAGUGGCGAAAGCGGCUCUCUGGUCUGUAACUGACGCUGAGGUUCGAAAGCGUGGGUAGCAAACAGG